AUUGAACGCUGGCGGCAUGCCUAACACAUGCAAGUCGAGCGAGCGGCGGACGGGUGAGUAAUGUCUGGGAAACUUCCUGAUGGCGGGGGUUAGCUACUGGAAACGGUAGCUAAUACUGCAUACCAUCAUAUGUGCCCAGAUGUUCUUGGCUUGUAGGUUGGUUAAUGGGUCAACGAGGCGACGAUCCCUAGCUGGGUUGCGGGGAUGACCAGCCAAACGGGAACAGAGACACGGUCCUGAGUCCUACGGUAGGCAGCAGUGGGGAAUAGUGCACAAUGGGCGCAAGCCUGAUGCAGCCAUGCCGCGUGGGUGAAGAAGGCCUGAGGGUUGUAAAGCAGUUUCAGCGGGGAGGCGUUACCCGCAGAAGAAGCACCGGCUAACUCCGUGCCAGCAGCCGCGGUAAUUC
rnacentral:rRNA from 1 species